rnacentral:rRNA from 1 species
GACGAACGCUGGCGGCGUGCUUAACACAUGCAAGUCGAACGGUAAGGCUCCAGCUUGCUGGGGUACACGAGUGGCGAACGGGUGAGUAACACGUGGGUGACCUGCCCUGCACUUCGGGAUAAGCCUGGGAAACUGGGUCUAAUACCGGAUAGGACCGCACCGUGGGGGUGUGGUGGAAAGUUUUUUCGGUGUGGGAUGGGCCCGCGGCCUAUCAGCUUGUUGGUGGGGUAAUGGCCUACCAAGGCGGCGACGGGUAGCCGGCCUGAGAGGGUGGACGGCCACAUUGGGACUGAGACACGGCCCAGACUCCUACGGGAGGCAGCAGUGGGGAAUAUUGCACAAUGGGCGGAAGCCUGAUGCAGCGACGCCGCGUGGGGGAUGACGGCCUUCGGGUUGUAAACUCCUUUCACCAUCGACGAAGGGUUUCUGACGGUAGAUGGAGAAGAAGCACCGGCUAACUACGUGCCAGCAGCCGCGGUAAUACGUAGGGUGCGAGCGUUGUCCGGAAUUACUGGGCGUAAAGAGCUCGUAGGUGGUUUGUCGCGUCGUCUGUGAAAUUCCGGGGCUUAACUCCGGGCGUGCAGGCGAUACGGGCAUAACUUGAGUACUGUAGGGGAGACUGGAAUUCCUGGUGUAGCGGUGAAAUGCGCAGAUAUCAGGAGGAACACCGGUGGCGAAGGCGGGUCUCUGGGCAGUAACUGACGCUGAGGAGCGAAAGCAUGGGGAGCGAACAGGAUUAGAUACCCUGGUAGUCCAUGCCGUAAACGGUGGGCGCUAGGUGUGGGUUUCCUUCCACGGGAUCCGUGCCGUAGCUAACGCAUUAAGCGCCCCGCCUGGGGAGUACGGCCGCAAGGCUAAAACUCAAAGGAAUUGACGGGGGCCCGCACAAGCGGCGGAGCAUGUGGAUUAAUUCGAUGCAACGCGAAGAACCUUACCUGGGCUUGACAUAUACAGGAUCGCGCCAGAGAUGGUGUUUCCCUUGUGGCUUGUAUACAGGUGGUGCAUGGUUGUCGUCAGCUCGUGUCGUGAGAUGUUGGGUUAAGUCCCGCAACGAGCGCAACCCUUGUCUUAUGUUGCCAGCACGUUGUGGUGGGGACUCGUAAGAAACUGCCGGGGUUAACUCGGAGGAAGGUGGGGAUGACGUCAAAUCAUCAUGCCCCUUAUGCCCAGGGCUUCACACAUGCUACAAUGGUCGGUACAGUGGGUUGCCAGUCCGUGAGGGCGAGCUAAUCCCGCAAAGCCGGUCUCAGUUCGGAUCGGGGUCUGCAACUCGACCCCGUGAAGUCGGAGUCGCUAGUAAUCGCAGAUCAGCAACGCUGCGGUGAAUACGUUCCCGGGCCU